GGUCUAUUAGUGUAGUGGUUAUCACUUUCGGUUCUGAACACUUGCUUGUGAGAACAUCCGAACAACCGGAGUUCGAAUCUCCGAUGGACCU